UUCAAGCCAGGGAUGGCUUCAAUCCUGGAGGCCGCGCUGUCAGUUCCGGUCGGAGUCUGUGGCCUGGAGUGAGCACUAAUGGUUCUUUUUCCAGGCCCGCCCAUGGCCACCCAUGGACCAAUCAGCAUGCACUUCCUCCCUUCUGAACCCAUAAAAACCCCGCUCCCCGGACGCAGCCGGAGUCACGCGAAGUCGGAAGUACCAGCUGCGGGAAGGAGCUGCCCACUGUGCGUCUUCUCAACUUGUUGGGACAACCUUCCUGCGGAAAGGAGAGACAACCUUCCUGCAGAAAGGAGCUACCUGCUUCAGGUCUACUGAGAGCUGUUCUGCCACUCAAUAAAGCUCUUCUCCAUCUUGCUAAGCCUCCAUUUGUCCGCAAUACCUCAUCUCCCUGGACGCAGGACAAGAACUCAGGACCCGCCUGGAGGUGCCCACAGCAGAAUCCACAUGCCGUCCAUCUGGUCCAGCCUCACGCAGAGCCACAACUGUGCUGGCGCCUGGAGCUGCCAGCCCCACUGCAGCAGCCGGACUGACAUUCAGACGUGGAGCAAGUUGGACUGCAUAGGGACCCACCAGUGAGAUGGACGCUGUCUGUAAACGGGGAAAUUUAUGGAAAGAUGUCCUCCUGCAACUGCUGAAAAUGCAACAUGCUGCCCAGGUCCUGCUCAGACCACUGACAACUCAGAAGUUAAUACUCAGAGUGGAAAGCGUAGCAAAGUGUAGUACAUGAGCAAGCGUUUCAAGCCAGACGGAGUUAAUCAUCUCUGUCACUGAAUUGGAGCUCACGGUCUGCUGGACAACUGUGCUGAGUGGAAAGGAAGCCUCGAUGGCUAAGUCACUUGUCCAACCUCAGACACUGGCAGAUCCAGGAUUCAAACAGCUAGACUCCAAAUGUGUUUCCUUUAACCUCUUUUCUACCUUUUCAACUUGAUUCCACACAUCACCACUGGGAAAGCUUAGAGUCCAACCUAUGACUACGUAGCCAAUAAAAGGGAAUGAAUCAUUGCAGGACAGUAUUUCCUGGCAUCGAGCUCUGUGCACCAGAGACCACGCUGCAAGCAGAUAGGAGCUGACUGACCUUAAGUGACUCUCAAUCUAAUAAAGUCAAGGCCAGAAAUUUUGGUCUAGCAACACUAAAGCCAGUGAUUUGGAAUUUCAGCUCACAGAUCCUGGAUCUUCUGCUUUGAAGAAAGUUUGGGCUUUGGCAGAAUCGGGUGCUAUUAGCCCAAAGAAUGAAGCUCAUGACUUAAGAGUUUCCAUCACGACUCUUGUCAGGGGAAGCAUUCUUUCCCAGGCACACCUCUCUUUGUCUCUGGGUUUCAGGAGCAAAAGUUCUGCAAGAGUCUCUAAGCCUUCUGGAGGUGAGACCCGGGAACACCAGGCAGAAAAAGCAGGAAGAUCAUUCUUCAGGGAGCUUGUGUGCCUGCCUGAAAAGCUGGCUAGGCAUUCAUCAAUUGACAGGUUUCUGCAGUUGGAGCGUAAUCUCCCUGGAAUGCUCUGAAUCUUAUCCUUCACGUGACCUUGUAAGAAACCAGAGUAUGCACAGAUUCAAUAUGGGAAGUGCUCAGCAACCUGUUUCAAAGCUCUCGGUAAAAGUUUGCAGGGAUCAAAAGGAGUGGGUGACUUCAAUUAAAUCACCCUUGGAACCUGGUGUUAUGUUCCUUAAGGAUCAAGACAUCUCAGCUGUUUUAUUUUAAAAAAAUGUAUUUGGCAUCUAACUAACAAGAGAUAAAACCUGAGCAAGGAGACUCGCUCUCUGUCCCAACCUUGAGGCGUGGAGCCCAGUCUUUCAGAUUAUGUUCAUCUAGGGCCAUGCUGCAUGGAUUUUUACCCCAGUUGUGAGAUCUUGGUGCAGUUACUAUCUCAAUUCUUCAGUUUCCACGUUGUAAAAUGGGGUUGAUAGCAGCAUUCACCUGGGAGCACUGUCAGGAGAAAAGAAGAGGAUUCACAUAGUGAGCCUGCGCUGAGUCCACAGUAAGUCCAUAUUA
rnacentral:lncRNA from 1 species